rnacentral:rRNA from 1 species
AUUGAACGCUGGCGGCAUGCCUUACACAUGCAAGUCGAACGGUAACAGGUCUUCGGAUGCUGACGAGUGGCGAACGGGUGAGUAAUACAUCGGAACGUGCCCGAUCGUGGGGGAUAACGAGGCGAAAGCUUUGCUAAUACCGCAUACGAUCUACGGAUGAAAGCGGGGGAUCUUCGGACCUCGCGCGGACGGAGCGGCCGAUGGCAGAUUAGGUAGUUGGUGGGAUAAAAGCUUACCAAGCCGACGAUCUGUAGCUGGUCUGAGAGGAUGAUCAGCCACACUGGGACUGAGACACGGCCCAGACUCCUACGGGAGGCAGCAGUGGGGAAUUUUGGACAAUGGGCGAAAGCCUGAUCCAGCCAUGCCGCGUGCAGGAUGAAGGCCUUUGGGUUGUAAACUGCUUUUGUACUGAACGAAAAGCCUCUUUCUAAUAAAGAGGGGUCAUGACGGUACCGUAAGAAUAAGCACCGGCUAACUACGUG